rnacentral:sRNA from 12 species
GCUAUCAACAUCCCCGCCGGUUGGGCGCGGCGUUUCUACUAAACCCGCGUAGUGAACCGGCUGUAGC